GCCGAGGUAGCUCAAUGGUAGAGCAGCUGCUUCGUAAGCAGCAGGUUGUGGGUUCGAGUCCCAUCCUCGGCU
rfam:Elusimicrobia bacterium CG1_02_63_36 cg1_0.2_scaffold_1982_c, whole genome shotgun sequence.